rnacentral:rRNA from 1 species
UGGGGAAUAUUGCACAAUGGGCGCAAGCCUGAUGCACCCAGGCCGCGUGUGUGAAGAAGGCCUUCGGGUUGUAAAGCACUUUCAGCGGGGAGGAAGGCGAUAAGGUUAAUAACCUUGUCGAUUGACGUUACCCGCAGAAGAAGCACCGGCUAACUCCGUGCCAGCAGCCGCGGUAAUACGGAGGGUGCAAGCGUUAAUCGGAAUUACUGGGCGUAAAGCGCACGCAGGCGGUCUGUCAAGUCGGAUGUGAAAUCCCCGGGCUUAACCUGGGAACUGCAUUCGAAACUGGCAGGCUAGAGUCGUGUAGAGGGGGGUAGAAUUCCAGGUGUAGCGGUGAAAUGCGUAGAGAUCUGGAGGAAUACCGGUGGCGAAGGCGGCCCCCUGGACAAAGACUGACGCUCAGGUGCGAAAGCGUGGGGAGCAAACAGG